rnacentral:rRNA from 1 species
AUGGCACCAGAUCGAGCCGACGAGGCCAGUCCGCGGCCAGAUCCGCCACCGCCACAGCAACCUCUCUCUCUUCCUCUCCCCGAUCCAGAUCGAAGACGGCGGCUCCCACCUCAUCGCUCUCCCGUCGUCUCCCACCGUCCUUCCACACCGUCCGUUUCACUCUCUCUCGCACCCAACCUCCGGCUCUCCGUCCUACAUCCAGAUCCCGAUCCGCGGUGGCGCCCUCCGAUCCAACCCCUCCCUUCUUCUCCAACCGCACGCGCCCGCGUCCAGCACCCGGAGUCGCAAGCCUCGAUCUCCUCCUCCGCGCCCGUUCCCAAGCGCCUUUGCCUCCCUGUCCCGCCGGAGGACGGCGACGACACCUCCUCGGGUUGGAUUUCGCCGGAGGACCUGGCCCCGCCGCCCCCUCCCCCGUACCACGCUGCCGCGUCCUACUCCCCGCCGCCCGUCUCCGGCCCCGCCGCCGGCUCCGUGCCGCCUCCCAAGAACACCAUGGACUCGGUGAAGGACGUCCUAGGGAAGAUGGGGAAGAGGUUCGGCGAGGCCGCCCGCAAGACGGAGAACAUCACCGGCAACUUCUGGCAGCACCAUGAGAUUCGCUUCUCGAGCUCUCUGCUGUAUUGUAGGCAUGCCGAGCCUGCUGGCGUAUGCUUCUUCAGGGGCAAAGAAGAAAUCUUCAAGAAGAAGGUGCCCGAAGCUGAUGCCGCGUCGAGUGACUGA